rnacentral:rRNA from 1 species
UGUGAGAGCAAGAGCCCGGAGAUGGAUUCUGAGACACGAAUCCAGGCCCUACGGGGCGCAGCAGGCGCGAAAACUUUACAAUGCGAGAAAUCGUGAUAAGGGAACCCCGAGUGCCCGUAAAUUCGGGCUGUCCGCCAGUGUAAAUAACUGGUGAAGAAAGGGCCGGGCAAGACCGGUGCCAGCCGCCGCGGUAAUACCGGCGGCUCGAGUGGUGGCCACUAUUACUGGGCUUAAAGCGUCCGUAGCUGGAUUGUUAAGUCUCUUGGGAAAUCCACCGGCUCAACCGAUGGGCGUUCAGGAGAAACUGGCAAUCUAGGGACCGGGAGAGGUGAGAGGUACUCCAGGGGUAGGAGUGAAAUCCUGUAAUCCUUGGGGGACCACCUGUGGCGAAGGCGUCUCACUAGAACGGCUCCGACAGUGAGGGACGAAAGCUGGGGGAGCAAACCGGAUUAGAUACCCGGGUAGUCCCAGCUGUAAACGAUGCGCGUUAGGUGUAUCGGUGACCACGAGUCAUCGAGGUGCCGAAGGGAAACCGUGAAACGUG